rnacentral:lncRNA from 1 species
CUAUUAUUAGGUCUUUCAACCUUUCGGAUGAAAGACCUAUUGUUUUUGUUCUGAUUAUUAUUAUUAUUAUUAUUAUUAUUUUUUUUCUUCCGCCAACAUUUUUUUCCUUCGCUGUUUUUUUUUGUUUCGCAAGAUGUCGCUUAGAUAAAUGAAAUAUGAUAUCGAACAGUUUAUGCGCUUUUGAAACUGACACCGCGAAACCCAAUACUUUCCCAUAUAAGAGUUAUCUCCCCGAACACUGUUUUUUUUGUUAUCGCUUAAUCUUCACAACCGUUUAAGAAACCGACAAAUUUAUUUUUCCAAAUGGCGCGUUACAUCCUCAGGACGUUCUGUUUUUUUUUGACCGAAGCCUUAUAGAGAUUCCAUAUGAGAGUUAAUUCCCCUUUUGUUUUUGAAAUUUUGAAAUGUAUUUUAAACUGGAAAACCAUAAGUGAUAGAGACCUCGGGUCUUUUGAUUUGAGAUCCUUGGUCCAAAAAAAAAUGAAAAUUAGGUCAAGGUCAAAGUCAAGGUCAUAUUCUAAAUUUUGAUUUUGGCUUAUUUUCACUCAUUUUCAUUAACCUUAUAAGGUAUAGACAAAUUAUUUUUACUAAAUUGUUAGUUGCGACAUGUCGUAACAUAAUAAUUUUGGUUGAAAGGGUGCGUAGACAAUAAAUGGGAGUUUUAGCCCCUAUCACAUCUAAAAUUAUGCGUAAAGUGAUAUAACUUAUUAACCAUACAUAUUAGAGACCAAGGGUCUUUUGAUUUGAGAUCCAUGGUCCAAAAAAAAUGAAAAUUAGGUCAAGGUCAAAGGUCAAGGUCAUAUUCUAAAUUUUUGAUUUUGGCUUAUUUUCACUAAUUU